UGGCUUCUGAGUGCUGGCCCAUCCCCUGAGCCUUUCCAGCCACCCUGAAUGGGACAUGGAGCAGCAGGACAUGGGCCCUGAGAUGACUCCCUUGUUGGUCAUGAUGGAAGUUUUUUGGCUGGCUUAGUCCUGGAGCUGCUGCUGUCGGGAAUUGUCCUCAGAUGGUGCCUUGGCAGAAGGCUCUGGAGAUGCUGGGGAGAGCUGAGGGAGGGGUGUCAGGCAGCUGGGAUGGGGGCAGGGUGAGGAUGAAACAAGGUCUGGUGUCAGGCAAGGCAUGAGAGUCCCCAUGGAGGAGAAAAGCUGGGCUGAUGCUAGGAGUGCUCUUGGGCAGAGCAGUGCAGGGGGAUGUGUGACCAGCGCUCAGCCCAGGCACUGCUGCAUCCCCCACCGUAGGUUUUAGUGAUGCUGUUAGCCAUAGCUCCCCACAGCUUAGCCAUAGCUUCCCAGUAAUCUUUUCCCCUAGAAGAUGAAGCUUUUCUACUGUUCUAGUUCUGAGAAGCUGACAGUCAUUUAGGGGUGAGGUUCUCCCACUGUACUUCUCUCAUAGCCUCAUUUUAGAUUUUUUUAGUAGUCCAGUUGAACAAAGUUCAGCUUUUCUACAUUUUGCUGUGUUAUUUUCUUGAUAUUCCAUCCUUUUAAAAAUAGAGGUCCUUCAUUGGAAGAAGGACUUCUGUUUUCUUCUGAAGGAUCUUGCUGUUUUCUGAGGAAUGCUAACUUUCAUAGGUUACCCAUUCCUACAAGUGCAACAGGACAAAAGACUACAAAUCAGCUUUACAAUUUCAAAACCCACUCUUCCAGCUCUUACACAUCAAUUUUAUUAUCGGAAAUAUUCUGAAGUGAUAUCAAACCAGCACAGAAAAUGAGGAGGAAAAUAAUCCGCAGUUGACAUCACCUGCUAAAGUGCAUUUUAAAUUCAGUUUAAGGUCUCUAGGUGCAAUUUUGAGUGUGUCAAUGGGGACAUUCACACAGAGACACUACCAAUUGGUAGUUUUGGUCUUUCCAGUGAGUUUCCUUUUUGUUUUUUCUUUCACCAAAUUAAGGAAAAACCAAACAAAAGUGACUUUUUAGGUGGGGAAAAGGUAUGGUUGGUUUUUAAGAAAGCAUUUUAUUCUGCCUGUGUAGUAGUCUAUUGGAUAAUAACCUAAAAGGGAGCUUUUAGGAAAAUAUCAGUGUACCAUUGCAGUUGUUCUACCACUGUGAUGAACAACAGACAGGUCUGUAAGACUCCUGCAAUUCAUCCACUUCUCACUGUAGGGAUCACUGGGAAUAAUGACAGUGGAAAAUGUGGAGGUAGCUAGAUAAAAAAAUACCUGCAAUCUCCUUAGUCAAGAAAGAAAAAACAAACCUCAAAACAAAGCUAUAAAAUUAGUUAUCUUCUGAAUUAGGAUAAUUCCAAUUAACUGUUUUAUGACUGCUUUUGGUUCAUAUUCUUAUGUUAAAUAUUAUCAUUUCUAUCUGAAAUAUUCAUCAUUUUUAUGCUUUUCAGAAGUGAAUUACAGACUAAUACACACCCAUCUUCCCAAAAUCUGAUUUUAACCCCACAUGUCUCAGGAUCAACGGAAACUAACCAACAAAGCUUUCCACUGAAGAGAUGGAUACCACCAGCUUAUGAAUUUUGCUAGUACAGAUGUAGUGAAGAAGAAAUAAGUCUUUACUGCCAAAUCAGUUAUGAGUUGUUCUAUUCUACUGCCAGUAUGCUGUGGGUAUAAACAGCAUGCUCUUCACAGUCUCAUCCAUGAAGAAUUCCACUUUAAAAUUAGGUGUGGUUUUGAGUUUGACCAAACAAAUGCAAAUUUUCUAUUAAAACACAGUGAUGGCAGCAGGGUCAGUCUUUACAAUUAAAAUCUGAGAUUUAACAGUACACUCCUGAUCAGAUCUCCAGGGCUGAGUAUACAUGGUUAUUGUGGUGGCUUGGUCCUUGCUGGCAGCCAAUCUUCCACCUAUACAUUGUCUUGUUCCCUCCACUCAGGAUGAAAGGGACAAAAUAAGAAAAGCAGGAACAAGAAAGCUGCCUCAGCAUAAAGACAGGGAGAUCACUGAUUAAACAGACUUAACUUGGAAAAUUGUAUUUAUUACCAUUUAAAAUGAACAUUUAAUUAUAUUAGUAUUUAUUAGUAGUAGAUAGAGACAGCCAACCUGACUCAAAUCGCUAAGCCACCCAUCUUGUUCUGGUAGGAAAACAGAAGGAUGACAAAAAAAAGUGACAUUCCCCUGACAUAAAUGCCUUCACUCCAAUUUUAUUAAAACAAUAUGCUUUUCUGCAUUUAAGAAAUAGCUAAUGAAAAGUUAUUUCUUUAUUCUAAAAAUUACUCUUGUUACAAGGAGCAAUUUAGUUAAUGCUCUUCUAAUUUACAAUAGACACUAAAGUACUCAAACCUAGUUUUCUUUAUACUGAAAUUCUUCAUUAUUAGAUUGGAAACUCCUCAAGACUGGGUCCUGUAAUGUGGUAGGAAGAGUGUUGUUAGGUAACAGAGACAUUACUAAAGACAAGCUGUAUUCCCAUUUUGGAAUGUAUGCAUUUCUUCAGCACACAUAUCACUGAAAUUAAACCUAAUUAAUUACUGAUAAAUGAUCU